CGUUCAAUACGGUAAAUGUUUUUUCACCAGUUGCUUCAGGUUCUUGGUGCAUGGCAACUGGGCCAGAGCGCGUGCGGGACCUUCAGGCAGAGAUAGCGGAGGCAGCUCAUUCCCGUCGGUCUUCUCCUAUCCAUGUGAUGCACCGGUGAAAACCUAGCGCCCCAAUCCCCCGUCUCGUCUCCUCCUCCAAUCCCCUCGCCUCACGCCGCUCCUCCAAUCCCCCGCGUCGUCCCUCGCCGCCUCGCCUCCUCCCCGAAUCCACUCCUACUCUCCUCCUCCCCCAACCUGAUGGCGGCAGCAGGUCGGCGAACGUGGUCAGUGGAUGGAGGAGCGAGGCAGGAGACGGGCCGGCGCGGGCGGAGACGCGAUGGCGAUGGCCGGAAGCUGGCGUGGCCGGAGAUGGCCCAGCGCGGGGCGGAUCCAUGGCGGCGACGACCGGAGGCGACGGGCGCGGCCGGAACCGGGCCGGCGCGGGGGCGGAUGCCGGCGGCGGGGAGCGGCGACCUCCUGUGUGGUGGUGGAGAGGAGCAUGGGCAGCUGAGUCGGCUCUCUGUGCCAGCACAGCCGCCGCACGCCGGUGCGGAGAACCGCUGGGGCAGAUCUCGGCGGCGGCACCGACAAGCCCAUCUUUAUACAACGGGCAGUGCGUCGGCCUCUUCUCCUCCAAGAUGCUGCUGCCGCCGGUAUGGACGGCCGCCACGCGCCACUCCGGCUCCUCGGCCGCGUCCUCCGAUGGGGAAGAAGAGAGCAUGGCCUCGUGGGGGAUCACUGAGGAUUCCGGCAACGACCUGUCUCUGUACAACCGGCCGCGCGUCGGCCUCUUCUCCGCCAAAAGCCUGCCUGUAUGAACAACCGCCUCGGAUCCUCGACCGCCGCUCCGUGGUGCGACCCGUGGCCGCCUUUGCCAGGAAGUGCUCCCGUCUUCAAGAUCCUCCCCGGGGACUACAACUGGUUAUACUCUAUUCAGGAGCCAUUGUACAUGCUUUGUGUUGGCUUUGGUGUUUCCAAAUGAAUGUUGUUGGAAGUCAUGCAACAAUCACAUGAUUGAAAACUUGAUUGGUUAAUUAGGACAUGGUUAAUUAUUUCUGCAUCUUUCUUUCUUGAAAGAUGUAAUUUUUGCGGUGUUCAAAGGUACAAUUUUCUAUUCAAUAUUUACUUAUUUCAUAGACUAUGUUAUUUGAAAUUUUCAUGGUUUUGUGAUUUGAUUGUGAACGAGAUUAAUCUAACAUAUGUAUCCUUUUAAGUUAUGCUCAUUCAAGUGAUUCCUUGGUAUUUUAUUUGUCGUAUCCCCGCUUCGGGUCGACGCCGCCGUCGCGGCUCCUCCACACCAUGGCCGACGUAUGCUCGGCGGCGGCCUCCGACGAAACCCUAGCUGGGAGUGUUCCCAGCCGAGGAAGACCGAAGACCAAGCCACGACGGGGGAAGGUACGGCCUCCAGCACCCUCAAUGCCUCAGCCCCCCAUCGUAAGUUCUCCUUUUCGAUUGCUCCUUCUCCUCCUCCAACCUCUAUAUAUGUAAACAGUGGAAUGUGCAUGAUUUUUUUUAUAACGAAAAUGGUCCAGAUAUGAUAUUUCGAAUGUGCAUGAUUUUUUUUAUGACGAAAAUGGUCCAGAUCUGAUAUUUCUUGGUUGCUUAUUUGUGAUCUCUCCUUGCUGAUAGAAUGGUACUAACGAGAAUGGUCCAGAUCACUAAAUAUGCUUGUUCAUAUGUGCUUUCUAAAGUUUGCUGGUUCAUAUUUCUUAGCAUUUAAAAGUUACCCGGUUACAAGCAUUUUGAAAGGCCCAGGAACUACUCUUCGUGGGAUAUGCUACUACAUUAAGUGCAGGGCAUUUCUACAGAAUGUUCAGUAGCAAUUGGUGGUGGAAUGAAGAAUCUAAUCUGGCCGUUGGUACAUGAUCCAAUAAUAGGAGAAAUUUUCAGAUUUUUACAACUUGGUCAUGCUUUCAGAUUUUUUCAACUUGGUCAUGCUUUCACCUGAUAUGUCCCCGGCUAAAGGCCUACAUGGCAUGUUACAGAUAAACAACAAAAUAAAUGUAUAUGAAGAUAGAAAUUCAUCCCUGACCAAGAAGAUUAUUCAAUGCAUAGAAGUGUUAAGCAUCAAUGAUUCUAUUCCUGCAUUAUGUUUAUCCUUCACUUAAAACCCUUGCCUGAUUGUAUUUAUUGACCAAGAAGAAAGCACAUACCAGCAUUUUCAGCAUCAGAAGCUUCUUCUUCAUCACUUUCAGCUGAUUCUACUUCAUUUUCUUCAGGCAAACUCUCAUCCAAUGGUUCUCCUACAUAAUUUCCUUUAUUUUUCCUAUGCCAGUUAAUUAUAUUGUCAGUUUUUUGGUCAUAAUUUCCAGCCACAUAGUCUACUAUAGUUUACACUUUCACUCCCCUUCGGAUGCUAAUUCAACCCCGACCAUCGCUUAGCGGUUUGAUGAUGGUGUGAACAUGUAGACAUAACAACAUAGCGUUGUAUAAAUCGUUAUAGCCUCAUUCUAAUAUUCCAUUGCCUCUAUUUUAGAUAUUGGUGAAUUAUCCAUGAUUAUUAAAAUAAAUAGUACACCUGGAUAUGGAUGCUAUUUGGAUGCCAAGUGACAUGGUUUGAAUGGGGCAAGAUAGGUGCAUGGUAUCAUGAAGAGGCCAUGCUUUUGUGUGGGGUAAGAUUUGAGUUGAUCAUGGCUGUUGCUGUUGAAUAUUAAUUUUAAUUGCACUUGAUGGGUCUGCAAUAAGUUUGUUUUCGCUGAGGGGAUUAGUUACUCGAAGCACUGAUACUUUUAAUUUUGUGUGCAUUGUCGUAGAUUUAUGUGAUAGACAAUGGAUGGAAAUGCGCCAAAAAGAAGCACUACUCCUUGAUGUUUGUGGUUUUUGUGGGUUUCAGUUGGUCAAGGAUGUAAGCUAGCCCAGCCGGCUGAAGAUUGUUCUCAGCCUUGCGCACGUUGUAAGACACUUGCACACCGAGAUGCAGCCUCCGGUUGUCGUCGACGUAAUGAUGUCCAGUUCGGUCUACCUCGCUGGAUAUUUCACACCAAAGAUAAUCGACUUUGUGAGGUGGAGAGUUCUCUCCAAACUACAACUCGGAGAGUCGGCGGCGGCAGAUGGGUACUUCAGCUGCCUGGGCGGCAAGGAGAACCAGGCCUUACCAGUAUAGUGAUAUCUGGCCAUUGGUUGUGGUGGCGAACAACGGUGGCUUUCUGGCGGCGGCAACGGGUGCAUUUCGAUGGCAGUGUUUAAGUAAUUAAUGUGGUGGCUUCCUGAUUAUGUUAAUUGGGCCAUGUGUGCUCUGUUGAUGCCUAUGGUCGAUGAUACUUUGUGUUUUGGUUGCAGCUUAGUGUCGGGUUUGCUUUGGCACAGAGAGUGCUUCCAAUUCAACUCCUAUGUUUGAUGAUCUAAGGUGAGCCCUGUCAAUCAUUCCAUUGUUGAAUCUAUGCAUUCAAAACAAGGCCUUUCAUAUGUUAGUUAAUUCUUGCUUUCCAUUUUAUAUUUAUAUAGUUUGUAACUUCAUCUAUACCGGCGGAAAAUUUCAGACGUGCAAGUGAGACGUUCAAGUGUGCAGCUAUAAGAAUAAAGUAGAACCAAUGUUUUAUUCUUGCUAACCUGGCUGCCGCUAUUACCUGUUUGGUUGCUUGGCUUGGUGGAAUUUUAUGCCCCAUUUCCUAUUAGCUUCCUUAAAUCCUAAAUGUUUCCAUAGUUCAAAGUUAGGAAUAAACAUUGACGCUUGGCCUAUGUUACUGCCCUAUGCUAUAAUUUCUAUUAGAUUUGUAUCUUCUCUAAUGCCAUGUUUCUGCAGUUCCGUCUGCGGUUAAGCCCUGCUAUUGCUCCAUGGUAAAUCCUAAAUUAAAUCUACAUGUGGUAGUUUAGAUUCUACGACAAACAAUCCUCUGUUUUCUGUUUGGACGCAGGUUCUUAGCUGGUUGCCAUUUGCUGUGAGGUGUGCAUCCAGUCCUCUACAUAGCAGGUCUAUGCACUAAACUGAAGAAGCUUGGGUUUUCGGUUCUUUGUUCAUUGCUUUGAGGCGACAUAUCCAAGCCUCUUACAUGUACAACACUCCCUAUGUUUCUUAGUGCAUAUAGGUACUUGUGAACAUAGUUUAACUAUUAUGCUUCUUGGAGAGAGCUUUAAAAAAAAUCAUGGUUGAUUGUUGAACACAGUUUAGACCGUUAGACCUUUUUCCCUUAUAUUCUAUUCUGGAUAUUAGCUGUUAGGUAAAUUAGUACAAUAAGUUAUUUUGGCUUCCAUCGAUUUUUCUUCUAAUUGCUCCUUUUCUGAAUUGACAACUUAAUUAACUUAAAUUUGCCUUUUUCCAGUGUUGUUUUAACAUUUCCAAUCAGGUCAUACUUCAUGGCAGACCAUAAUAAUUAGAUCCAUUUCUCAUGCUUUGAACAUAUCGCAAAUCCAGUAGCAGUUGUAUGUUUCAAUUCGACAAAAGAGUCGAUUUGCUCCUUUUAUCAUCACCAUAGCUGAGCAUUUAUUCAUCUCUCAAAUAUUUUCUGCUAAUACAACAUACUGUCGUCUUCAGUUCGUCUUUCCAAAUCCUGUAUGAUAUAUGGCAUACCCUAAUGCACAUACGAUUUAGCUUCUUAGCUUGAGUUUGUCUUUCCAAAUCCACUUCAGCAAGAUUUUUUUACGGUAAUCUGCAAUAUUGUAUAUGUCAUAACUUAUCCACUAAAUUAAGAAUUCAGUAAUACCCUGAUGCAUAUACGAUUUAGCUUUCUUAGCUUGAGUUUGUCUUUUCAAAUCCACUCCAGCAAGAUUUUUUCCACUGAUCUGCAGUAUUGUAUAUAUAUCACAACUUCCCCACUAAAUUAACAAUUCAGUAAUCUCAAAUAGUAUUAGUGUCACCUCUCUGAACAUAGUUAGCUGGAUUCAUCUUGCAGAUGGACUUCCCAUCUUAGAUGAUUUAUCAAAUUUACUGACUCUAAUAUGCAAUAUUUUACCAUCAUAUAGUAGGAGUAUCUUUUCUGCAACUGGAAAAAGGUUCCUGUAAUUUAUGUAGAUGUUCUGCAACAUAUAGCACGAGGUACUUGUGGAAUUUGAUUUCUUUAGAUCAUUUUACUGUUUUUUACCUAGACCUGGGCAGGGUCAUUGUUCGUAGUUGUACUUGAAAGGUAGGAGUUCAAUGUCGUGUGUGAAUUCGAACUGUCAUUUAUUAGAAAACCGUGGUAAUCUUGAUGGAGAAACUAUUCCCACCCAAGUUAUUACUAUUUUGUUUUCUGCAAAUUAAAAUUUAGGGCUCGAAAUAGUCUUGAUGAGGCCAAGAUUUUGGUCUCUGUAGACGGCCUUUUGAAUACAGUUAUUUUUUCGAGCGUUAGAAACUAUUGCCACCCAAAUUAUUUCAAAAGCCUUAUCGCCUGCACUUGGAAUGUUCAAAACAUGGGGGCUGACAUUUUCCCAUAUGAGGCAACAAUGCAGAAGUUACAUGAUCGUGCUCAGUCCAUCUUUUGAAGAAACCCAGUGCAGGCAUCAGGCUCUUAGAGGAUUAUAUGGUUCUGUGGUUCAUGUCUCUAAAAAAUUCUUAUAAUCUCUUUAUGGUUUGUGGUUCAAAUAGACCACAUGCAGCGGUUUCUUCCGUUGUGCAAUCUUUUCAGCUGAAGAGAUCUUACUAGAACAAUCUCUUUAUGUGUUGGACAUUGUCUACUGACCGUAUGAGAAGGUCGUGAGGAUUCCUAUUGGAGCAUGGCCUAAGCUGGUUGACGAAUGGGCAUGAUAAGAAGCUGCUUUAAGUAAGCGGAGACUUGUGUUGCCCCAGACCAAGCUCAAGGACAGGGUUAGAGUUGAAAUGAGGUUACCUUCACAGGGUUAUAGGUCACUACAGGAAAGCCAAUACCCACUCUAAAAUUCAUGCCACCUAAUGUUACAGCGAGGUGUUGGUGGUGUCCCUGAUGAGGGUAGCUUGCUUCCUUCUUUUCCGCAAUCCAUCUGGUCCAAUGGGUUCCACGGUUCUGCCAUUAAAGUUCAUUUUUAUUCUAUGGCCACUGCAGACCAUGCUGAAGUUCAGGAAGUUGUUGCAUGAGAGGUUUGACCUAUUGCAUUUCAAAGAUUUGAUCUAUUAAAAGUGGCGGUGAACAGGAGGUGGAUAGUCAUGGGGUGGCGCAUAUAUAUCAUUCAGGCUUAAUCCUUUUGACGACUAUUUACCGCGAGCAAUCUGAAAGAAUGAAUGCCCGAUAAUCAUCUGACAAGCCAAUGCACCAUGUCGCUCAAUUACAGAGCUGAGGAGGACCUGUCAGGAGGUUGUGACGAUGAUGCCCUGGAGGAGGGAUGGUGUUUGGUGGCAGAGGAUGCUGGCAAGGCACAAGAUUGCAGCAGAUGAAGAUGGCCUGGCGUUCAAACCUUGGGAAGUGUCGGUUAAAUCCUGUGGCGAGCAGCGGAUGGCUAGAGGGAAUGGAGGGAGCUGUAGCAGAUGAAGGCGGAGGGAUAUGAAGAUAGGUUAAGAGAAAGAGACUAUAAGCCGUUAACGCAGAUCACGGUGGGCAUGGGCAUCAGCCGAUAAUAGUGGUGAGAAUUGUUUAAGUGGGGCAAAUAUUUGUAAUAGUUUCUUGUUCCGUGGUAUCGGUUAAGAGACUCAAAAUCUUGAACCAAAUUUUUGUGUCUUGGUACUCACAAUCUUGAACCAAAUUUUUGUGUCUUGGUAUCUUAUUUCAGCACCUCGAUAGAAUGGUAUGUCCGUAUGUGGACACUAA